rnacentral:tRNA from 1 species
GGGCCCUUAGCUCAGUUGGUUAGAGCCCCCGGCUCAUAACCGGGCUGUCAUUGGUUCGAGUCCAAUAGGGCCCACCA